UGGUCAAUGAUAAUCUAAAGAAGAGAACUUGUUGCAGAUUUAUACGCCAGGGUAUUCAGUUGUGGGAGGUUGACGAUUUGCAGAUCAGGAAUGGCCAUUACAAUGUUGUUCUCAACUAGCAUGGGUUCAUCUGUCAGAGUCUCGCAUUAGAUACUGGCCGAGAUUCCAGCAUUUUUGUCGCAAACAA